rnacentral:rRNA from 1 species
AGAGUACGUGAAACCGUUCAGGGGUAAACCUGAGAAACCCGAAAGGUCGAAAGGGGAAAUUCAUUCGCGUUUCGGCCGUCGGCGUCGGAUGGUCGAGUGACGGAUGGCGUUCGCGUCGUCCGCGCCUUCCUUCCUUCGAACCGGCGUCGAACGCGUGCACUUUUCCCCUAGUAGGACGUCGCGAUCCGUUGGGUGUCGGUCUAAGGCCUGCGGUGGAGCCCGCGUGGACGUUUCGGCGUUCAUUCGGACCCGCGGUGUCCCGGCCGACUCGCUCGACGGUAUACAGAUGGCGCGGGGCCGCUACACUCAGUUAGCGUCCGGCCCGCGGCAAGCACGUUCGGCGUUCGACGGCGAUCGGACCUGGUGCCGGUCCUGUCCCCGAACGACUGUUGGCCGCGGUGUUCUCCUCGGACAGACCUCGAUAUUUGAAACGCCGAUCUGCGACGCUAUAGCUUUGGGUACUUUCAGGACCCGUCUUGAAACACGGACCAAGGAGUCUAGCAUGUGCGCGAGUCAUUGGGACAUAACUAAACCUAAAGGCGUAAUGAAAGUGAAGGUCCGCCUUGCGCGGACCGAGGGAGGAUGGGCGGUCCGCCCUUAAAAGUGGCCGCCCCGCACUCCCGGGGCGUCUCGUUCUCAUCGCGAGAAGA